rnacentral:lncRNA from 1 species
AUUGCUACCACAUAGAUCACUGAACUAAGAUUGUAUAUUCCCAGAAGAAUGAGAAAGUUGGCUCCUCGAGAAUAAAUCAAUGCUAUAGAACAAUCAAAGUUGGGUCACUUAAACAGAGAAAAUGAGGUAAAUUGAGUAGUUUUUUUUUCUGACUAUUAGUUAACAAAUAACAGUCAAAAAGAAAAAAAUCACCCAGUGAGUCAGGGAGUCAAAUUCAUGUGUCUCCCACAUGUAAUCUAUUCCAUAAGUGGAGCAGUGCCCAGAUAGGUAAAGAAUUACUGCAUGAAGGACCAGUGUGUUCCUAGUGAUUUGCAAGUGUUUGUUUGAUUGUUAUCAUUUCUAUGUACAUAUUUAAAACAACAAGAGUGACAACCAAGUAUUUUGUUGGGCUUAGGAGAAAAUAUAGACAGAGAAAAGAAUUUUAAAUUUGUUAAAGAAAAUAAAGGCAGUACAUUAUACACACUCAAAAUAUAUGAAUUUUUUACAUGCUGUCUUUGGAGAAUUUUUAAUAGACACUUAAUUCAAACAAAUUCAGUUACAGACCCAUGUAUCUCCAGAAGCUCUAAACUAGAGAUAAGAUAGGCAGCUACUAUAGCCUAAAAUUCCUUCAAAUCCCUGCACUAAUUGGCUUUGUAUCAUCAAUCAAUGUAAAUAGGUGUGCAGAACAUUGGAUGCUACUCUUGUUCAGAAGGAGUAAUGUCAACCAAAGUCUCCAACUGGAGCCUUCCUUAGAAUGCUGCAGAGUGAGAACACCACAGGAUGACUGUGAUAUAGGGAGCAAAUAAUGUCAGGAUAGAUGGGCAGAUGACAUUCAAAAUAUAGUUCCAUUUUAUUUCCAGAAAUUUUUAUGAAACAAAUUCUCAGGAAGUAUUGGAAAAACAAUACCUUGAAUAAUCAUAAGAGGAGACUCAGGAAGAG